AACACAAAUUUCCUCCCCUUUUUCUUCCCUCGCAGCCCACCUCUCCUCCUCCUCCGUCUCUCUUCUCACAUUCCUCUCGCCUCCUCCAUCGACCCCGAGAUCUCUGUCAGCCUCGGCAACUUCUCUUUCCUCUGACACAACGGGCCGCAACACCUUCCUCUCCACUCUCAUAUUCCUGGUGCCUCCUCCCUCCAUUUUUAGGCCUAGGGUUUCGGUUUUCUUAUUUUUUUCCCAUUUUAUGUUUUGCAUCUCUGCUUAUUUGGGUUUGUGUCAUUUCUUCAGCACAGGUUACAGUUCUCUUCAUUUUUUCUCUUAAACCACUGAUCAAUCAUUAUCCUACCCUCCACCCCUAUAACUCAUUACAUGCAUAAUGAGAAAUUUCAACAGUAGCAUCUAAAUUUUGGUUUGCGAGUUCAAUUGAGAAGAGAGCAUUUCCUGGUGCUUCCUUCAUCUCGUGGUUGAUUGAAAUUGGAGAAGGAAGCUGAACACGGGUAUGUGAAUAUACCGAAUACCUAUAGUAUUUCAAAUGUUGGUGAAUGUAGAGUGUUUGGAUUUUUGUGAAAUUAGGAGGAAUUCUUAACUUUUCUUCUGCUACCUAAGAGGAAUAUUUUCUCUUUUUGUCUCUCUCUUCCAAUUUUUAUGUCUUGCCAAACAUGCUCACUCGUCAUCUUUGCUACCUGAGAAAACGUCACAUCCGUAGCUACUUCACUGUUCACAAGCGUCGAGUCUUAGUGUUGUGAAGGUAAUUUAAGAAAUGAAUUGUGCAUUAUAGAGGAAGCUUGGAUGAUCUGAUUGAAAGAUGUCUAUUAUAAUUAGCUUAGUGUUCUUUUUUAUAAUUAAAAUCGAAAUUCAAUUAAGUCUGCUAGUUAGAAGAUGCUAUGCUUAUUGGAGAUCUUUUGAGUUUACUAGCGAAUAAUUGUGCUUUAGAGUAGUUUCAAUUGCACAGUGGCUGUAUUAGGCUCCAAUUUGAGGGGCACCAAGCAGUGUGAACUGUGAAGUCAUUUAGUUGGACUGUUGGGUUGAACUAGUUGGAUCCUCUCAUUCAGUCAUUAUAUUCCAAGUUCCCUGUUUCUUGUGCUGCCUCAUGCCAACGGCCAACCUAAACCUUGCCAUUUUGUUACCCUAUUUUCUUCAAUCAUAUUAAAUUCAGAGUUUUCAAACCAAUCUCAUUUAACCCUCUCUCAUGAUAUGGCCAUCAGCCCAUCACAAACUGUGACCUUCCUUGCUGUACUUGUUGCAAACAAUUUGCUGACACCACCACAUCAGUGACAUUUAGAUUGAUAAUUUUGCUAUUAUGUGUUAUGUGUAAGCUCGGUUUGAUUUUUGAUUCUUGGUUUUCUGAAUUUUUUCAGUGGAAAAGCAUAGAAAGAAAUGUCUAGUCAGCAGCAGGAAAGAGAAAAGGAUGUGCAAAGCACAAAUCCCCAUGGUUUGAGAGAAAUGGUAGAAGAACAGUACAAAAAAAUCAGAGAGAAUGCAGAAACUUAUCCAUAUGUAUGGGCAUCAUAUAUUGUAGUAUACGGUGGUUUUGCCUUGUGGACUACCUAUAGGUGGAGAAAACUUCGAAAGACUGAGGACAGAGUACGAGCUCUUCAAGAAAGACUGCGCAAUCUUGUUGAUUCUCAAGACUCUGCAAUUUCGACUUCAACAACUCUUGAAAAGGCUCCCCCUUCCAUUGAUAAGUCCUCCCCCAAAUAGCUUUUCUAAGAAAUUUCACCUCAAGUUCAGAAUAUGAAUCUUCUCUUCCAAAUAUCUUAUCUACUUCAACCUUUUCCUUUCAGAUACAAGGAAAGUGUUUAUGCUCUUAUCAAAUUUACAGCUUUUGGAUCUUCAUUUUAUAUUUUACAGAAUUUAUUAUCUAUCAAAUUUAGCACCAGAGCCAAAUUUGAUUAAAGACAUUAGUGAGUUCUUCAAGGUUUUUUUUUUUUUUUUUUUUU
rnacentral:misc_RNA from 1 species